GAAGGGUGCAAGCGUUACUCGGAAUUACUGGGCGUAAAGCGUGCGUAGGUGGUUUGUUAAGUCUGAUGUGAAAGCCCUGGGCUCAACCUGGGAAUUGCAUUGGAUACUGGCAGGCUAGAGUGCGGUAGAGGAUGGCGGAAUUCCCGGUGUAGCAGUGAAAUGCGUAGAGAUCGGGAGGAACAUCUGUGGCGAAGGCGGCCAUCUGGACCAGCACUGACACUGAGGCACGAAAGCGUGGGGAGCAAACAGGAUUAGAUACCCUGGUAGUCCACGCCCUAAACGAUGCGAACUGGAUGUUGGGAGCAAUUAGGCUCUCAGUAUCGAAGCUAACGCGUUAAGUUCGCUGCCUGGGGAGUACGGUCGCAANACNG
rnacentral:rRNA from 1 species